rnacentral:rRNA from 1 species
UACAGAGGUCUCGAGCGUUAGGCGGAAUCACUGGGCUUAAAGCGUGUGUAGGCGGAUCGUUAAGUACCUUGUGAAAUCCCACGGCUUAACCGUGGAACUGCUUGGUAUACUGGCGGUCUUGAGCCAGCUAGGGGCUACCGGAACAAAUGGUGGAGCGGUGAAAAUGCGUAGAUAUCAUUUGGAACGCCAAUGGUGAAAACAGGUAGCUGGGGCUGUGCUGACGCUGAGACACGAAAGCCAGGGGAGCAAACGGG